rnacentral:rRNA from 1 species
CAGCUCCAAUAGCGUAUAUUAAAGUUGUUGCAGUUAAAAAGCUCGUAGUUGAAUUUCGGGAUUAGUACGUUGGUCGUGCCUUCGGUACGUACUGGUGUUACUGAUUCCUACCUUCUGACGAACCAUCAUGUCAUUAAUUUGGUGUGGCGGGGAAUCAGGACUGUUACUUUGAAAAAAUUAGAGUGUUUAAAGCAGGCUCGCGCUUGAAUACAUUAGCAUGGAAUAAUGAAAUAGGACGUUGACCCUAUUUUGUUGGUUUCUAGGAUUGACGUAAUGAUUAAUAGGGAUAGUUGGGGGCAUUAGUAUUCAAUUGUCUGAGGUGAAAUUCUUGGAUUUAUUGAAGACUAACUACUGCGAAAGCAUUUGCCAAGGAUGUUUUCAUUAAUCAAGAGCGAAAGUUAGGGGAUCGAAGACGAUCAGAUACCGUCGUAGUCUUAACCAUAAACUAUGCCGACUAGGGAUCGGAUGAUG